UACGAAGGGGGCUAGCGUUGCUCGGAAUUACUGGGCGUAAAGGGCGCGUAGGCGGCACUGUUAGUCAGGCGUGAAAGUCCUGGGCUCAACCUGGGAACUGCGCUUGAUACGGCAGAGCUAGAGGAUGGAAGAGGCUCGCGGAAUUCCCAGUGUAGAGGUGAAAUUCGUAGAUAUCUGGAGGAAUACCGGUGGCGAAGGCGGCAUCCUGGACCAUAACUGACGCUGAGGCGCGAAAGCUAGGGGAGCAAACGGG
rnacentral:rRNA from 1 species